UACGAAGGGGGCUAGCGUUGCUCGGAAUCACUGGGCGUAAAGGGUGCGUAGGCGGGUCUUUAAGUCAGGGGUGAAAUCCUGGAGCUCAACUCCAGAACUGCCUUUGAUACUGAGGGUCUUGAGUCCGGGAGAGGUGAGUGGAACUGCGAGUGUAGAGGUGAAAUUCGUAGAUAUUCGCAAGAACACCAGUGGCGAAGGCGGCUCACUGGCCCGGUACUGACGCUGAGGCACGAAAGCGUGGGGAGCAAACAGG
rnacentral:rRNA from 1 species